UACGUAGGGGGCAAGCGUUGUCCGGAAUCAUUGGGCGUAAAGCGCGUGUAGGCGGCUUGGUAAGUCCGCUCUGAAAGCCCGGGGCUCAACCCCGGGAGGCGGGUGGAUACUGUCAAGCUCGAGUCCGGAAGAGGCGAGUGGAAUUCCUGGUGUAGCGGUGAAAUGCGCAGAUAUCAGGAGGAACACCAAUGGCGAAGGCAGCUCGCUGGGACGUGACUGACGCUGAGACGCGAAAGCCAGGGGAGCGAACGGG
rnacentral:rRNA from 1 species